AGAGGACGUCAGAUAUUGGUGGAUUUAGAUUGCGCUGUUUUUAAGAGUUAUUUUUUGCAAAUUACAAAUAUUAUAGUACAAGCACGGCUCCUUGCGUCACCUACAUGACCAUUAUCAUCAAACUUUAGGACUCCUUUCUUCUUGACCGCGCUGUGGGAUAAGAGGUAUACAGAUCUCUUAAGCAAACAAGUGCUUCGUGAAUCCUCGAGCUGGUCUUCCACUUGUGACCCCAAGCCUCGCUCCCUUCCCAUCACAGGUUGAGAACGUGUCAUCCGACGAAGUGUGGCUUCACUGGACCCCCAACUUGUCUAGGACUCGCCCGUCUGGGUACAUCGUCAGGUACCAGAGGAUCGGGGCCGCCGAGUACCAGUAUGUGAACGUGAGCGGGGGAGAGAGAACGUCGGUGGUGGUGGAGGAGCUGGCAGCCGGCACCAGGUACUCCAUCAGCCUGCAGGCCUACAACCCGCAGGGACUCUCUCAACACACUCACCCUCUCACCACCACCACACUCGGUGUGGCCGAGAGUGCCAGUAGCAGCACGAGCAGCAGCGAGGGAGGAGGGAGGUCGAGGGUGCCGCGACUCAUCCUACUCAUCAUGACGCUGGCAGGCACGGCGCUCCUUGCACUCAACAUGGCUAUCAUCGCCUGUUUCGUCCGCCGUCGGGCGGCCCACAACGCCAGAGGAGUCUCAGCAUCCUCCAGCAAGACGACGACACUGGAGGUGUUCAGCCCAGCGACCACCCCCGGAGGCACCACCCAGGGGGACGAACUACCCCUCACCACCACAACAACCACCACCACCGACCUCACCACC